rnacentral:rRNA from 1 species
UACAGAGGGGGCAAGCGUUGUUCGGAAUUACUGGGCGUAAAGGGCGCGUAGGCGGCCUGUUAAGUCGAACGUGAAAUCCCCGGGCUCAACCCGGGAACUGCGUCCGAUACUGGCAGGCUUGAAUCCGGGAGAGGGAUGCGGAAUUCCAGGUGUAGCGGUGAAAUGCGUAGAUAUCUGGAGGAACACCGGUGGCGAAGGCGGCAUCCUGGACCGGCAUUGACGCUGAGGCGCGAAAGCGUGGGUAGCAAACAGG